GUUAAACGCUGGCGGCAUGCCUUACACAUGCAAGUCGAACGGUAGCGCGGGGCAACCUGGCGACGAGUGGCGAACGGGUGAGUAAAGCAUCGGAACGUGCCCUGGAAUGGGGGAUAACGUAGCGAAAGUUACGCUAAUACCGCAUAUUCUGUGAGCAGGAAAGCAGGGGAUCGCAAGACCUUGCGUUCUGGGAGCGGCCGAUGUCGGAUUAGCUAGUUGGUGGGGUAAAAGCCUACCAAGGCGACGAUCCGUAGCGGGUCUGAGAGGAUGAUCCGCCACACUGGGACUGAGACACGGCCCAGACUCCUACGGGAGGCAGCAGUGGGGAAUUUUGGACAAUGGGCGGAAGCCUGAUCCAGCCAUGCCGCGUGAGUGAAGAAGGCCU
rnacentral:rRNA from 1 species